rnacentral:rRNA from 1 species
GACGAACGCUGGCGGCGUGCUUAACACAUGCAAGUCGAACGGUGAAGCGCCUUCCUUUUUGGUGGGUGUGGAUGAGUGGCGAACGGGUGAGUAACACGUGAGUAACCUGCCCCCUUCUUCUGGAUAACCGCAUGAAAGUGUGGCUAAUACGGGAUAUUCUGGGUCUGUCGCAUGAUGGGUCUGGGAAAGAUAUUGUUUCGGUGGGGGAUGGGCUCGCGGCCUAUCAGCUUGUUGGUGGGGUGAUGGCCUACCAAGGCGGUGACGGGUAGCCGGCCUGAGAGGGUGGACGGUCACACUGGGACUGAGACACGGCCCAGACUCCUACGGGAGGCAGCAGUGGGGAAUAGUGCACAAUGGGCGCAAGCCUGAGGCAGCGACGCCGCGUGAGGGAUGGAGGCCUUCGGGUUGUGAACCUCUUUCGCCAGUGAAGCAGGCCUGCCUCGUUUGUGGGUGGGUUGACGGUAGCUGGAUAAGAAGCGCCGGCUAACUACGU